UUGAAUAAGCUUGGUUUCAGACUGUUGCUGGUUCUGUAGGGCAUGUGCACGUCUGUUCCAUUUUUAUUACCACCUGUGCACUUCGUGUAGAUCUGAAUUACUCUCGAGGCAAACUCGGUCUGAGACGUUACUGAGCAUUUGAAAUGAAAUGCACAGUUUUGUCUUUAGAUAUUCAGAUCUAUGUCUUACUACACUCUACGAUACAAGUAUUUGAAGAAGGACGCACUUAUAAUGAUAUUUUACAACUUUCAACAACGGAUCUCUUGGCUCUCGCAUCGAUGAAGAACGCAGCGAAAUGCGAUAAGUAAUGUGAAUUGCAGAAUUCAGUGAAUCAUCGAAUCUUUGAACGCACCUUGCGCUCCUUGGUAUUCCGAGGAGCAUGCCUGUUUGAGUGUCAUGAAAUCCCUCAUCCUUUCGAGCUUUCUUUAAGCUGGUCAGGCUUUGGAUUCUGGGAGUUUGCUGGCUUACAUUGAGCCGGCUCUUCUUAAAUGUAUUAGCAAGAUCAUCGCUAAAUCAUGUUUGAUAUGAUAAUUAUCUAUAUCAAUAAAUGAGAUCUGGCGGAUUUCCAUUUAGGAAAAUUGAUCAAGCUUUACAAUGGUCUCAGGACAACAAAUGCUUUUGAAUCAUUUGACCUCAAAUCAGGUAGGACUACCCGCUGA
rnacentral:rRNA from 1 species